GAAUUUUCCGCAAUGGGCGAAAGCCUGACGGAGCAAGACCGCGUGGGGGAAGAAGGCUCUUGGGUUGUAAACUCCUUUUCUCUGGGAAGAACAAAAUGACGGUACCAGAGGAAUCAGCAUCGGCUAACUCCGUGCCAGCAGCCGCGGUAAGACGGAGGAUGCAAGCGUUAUCCGGAAUGAUUGGGCGUAAAGCGUCCGCAGGUGGCAGUUCAAGUCUGCUGUCAAAGACCGGGGCUCAACCUCGGAAAGGCAGUGGAAACUGAACAGCUAGAGUAUGGUAGGGGCAAAGGGAAUUCCUGGUGUAGCGGUGAAAUGCGUAGAGAUCAGGAAGAACAUCGGUGGCGAAGGCGCUUUGCUGGACCAUAACUGACACUCAGGGACGAAAGCUAGGGGAGCGAAUGGGAUUAGAUACCCCAGUAGUCAACA
rnacentral:rRNA from 1 species